UAACAAGGAUUCCCCUAGUAACUGCGAGUGAAGCGGGAAAAGCUCAAAUUUAAAAUCUGGCGGUCUUAGGUCGUCCGAGUUGUAAUCUAGAGAAGCGUCUUCCGUGCCGGACCGUGUACAAGUCUCUUGGAAUAGAGUAUCAUAGAGGGUGAGAAUCCCGUCUUUGACAUGGACUACCGGUGCUUUGUGAUGCGCUCUCAAAGAGUCGCGUUGUUUGGGAAUGCAGCGCAAAAUGGGUGGUGAAUUCCAUCUAAAGCUAAAUAUUGGCGAGAGACCGAUAGCGAACAAGUACCGUGAGGGAAAGAUGAAAAGCACUUUGGAAAGAGAGUUAAACAGUACGUGAAAUUGUUGAAAGGGAAACGCUUGAAGUCAGUCGCGUCUGGCGGAACUCAGCCUUGCUUUUGCUUGGUGCACUUUCCGUUUGACGGGCCAGCAUCGAUUUUGGUCGCCGGAUAAAGCUCAAGGGAAUGUGGCACCCUCGGGUGUGUUAUAGCCUUUGUUCGCAUACGGCGGCUGGGAUCGAGGUUCGCAGCACGCCUUUUGGCCGGGGUUCGCCCACGUACGUGCUUAGGAUGCUGGCGUAAUGGCUUUAAACGAC
rnacentral:rRNA from 1 species